AUGCCAUGGUUACCAGGAAGGAGGUUACAAAGAACAUAUGAGAACAAACUUCGUUCUGCCUUUGGACAUCAAGCGAUCAUAUCUGUACUUCACAACAUCAGUAACUCACGAGCUGGCAUGCCAUCCCAUCCCGUCUUCCUAGACACCCAGAGAAUACAGACACAACAAUCCGGCAAAGGAUGGACAGGCAGCAGAAGGAGUUCAGGCAUAGGCCACGCAACCAGGGGACAUGAAAGCCUAAUUGAGAAAAUCUUUCAUAGGAUCGUCGUGGCGGACUCUUGUCAUACGGUAGGCCUCCAUGUCUUCCGCAGUGACCUCGUCAUUCCACUUCACAUUGUACUUUCUCUUUCUUUCGUCCAUCUCUUCCUUCUUCCUCUUUGCCUCCUAUAG
rnacentral:rRNA from 1 species